GUUAGGCAGCGGCCGGGGGCGGCGGUAAUAGGUGGGGGGAAAGGGUUGUACGGAUUUAGUGGGCGUAAAGAGCGUGUAGGCGGCCAAGCAGGUCCGCUGGGAAAACUCGAGGCUCAACCUCGAGAGGUCGGUGGAAACCGGUUGGCUAGAGUCCGGAAGAGGAGAGUGGAAUUCCCGGUGGAGCGGUGAAAUGCGCAGAUAUCGGGAAGAACACCCGUGGCGAAGGCGGCUCUCUGGGACGGUACUGACGCUGAGACGCGAAAGCGUGGGGAGCGAACAGGAUUAGAUACCCGAGUAGUC
rnacentral:rRNA from 1 species